AUGGCUGAUAGCAAGAGCGAAGUUGGCCUCAGAUCCACUGCCAGUGAAGCAGAUGGACACGGUGCCAGUGGGGACAUUGUGAUGACCCAGUCUCCAGCCUCUGUGGCUAUGUCUCAAGGAGAAACGGUCACCAUUGACUGCAAAGCCAGCCAGAGUGUGAGCAGCUACUUAGCCUGGUACCAGCAGAAACCAGGAGACGGUGCGAAGCGACUCAUCUCUGGGGCAUCUAACCAGGAUUCUGUGGUCCCUGAUCGGUUCAGUGGCAGUGGGUCUGGGACAGACUUCACUCUCACCAUCAGCAACUUCCAGGCUGAAGACGCCGCAGUUUAUUACUGUAUGGAAGGUUAUAAUAAUCCACCCACAAUGCUUCAGCCUCAAAAACAAACCUCCUCCCGAGGGCUAUAG